AGUCUCAUUUCCCAGCACUCUUGUUCAUUCUCUUUUACCCGUACGGAUUACUACGCAAGAUCGAAUUUUGCAAUUUGGUUUUCCACAUUUCCCCUUUUCCUGCUCAAAACAAGAACCCUAAAAAAAAUUACCCACAAAUCAGAGCAUUAAAAUGGAUUUAUAUUUGCCCAACGAGAUUCUGUUCCAGAUACUGAUCAGGUUACCUGUGAAAGCUCUGGUUCGAUUCAGGUGUGUUUCCAAAUUUUGGUAUUCUCGAAUUGGCAAAUCCAAAUUCAUGCUUUCACAUCUACAUCAUAAUCAGGUUGCUAACUCUAAUGUUUUGUUUAGGAAAUACUUGUCGGAUUGUAAGACGGAAAUUUAUAGUUUACAUUCUGAUAAUCAAGAAUUUCAGGAAAUUGAAACCCUAGAUUUCCCAUUUAAGUGUGCUGAUAAUUAUUUCUCAAUUAUAGGGUGUGUUAAUGGUUUGAUCUGUUUAUGGGAUAAAAUUUCCACUGCCCUGGUGUUUUGGAAUCCUUCCAUUAGAAAAUAUGUCACUCUUCCUAAGUUUAGUUUGGAACCAGCCAUGAAAAUGAAUAAAAGAAUGAGAUUACACUGGAAUCCUACAGUAGUUCGUGAUAUGUGUUUCGGGUUUGGGUAUGAUGCUUUGUCAAAUGACUACAAAGCUAUAAGGAUGAUUUUCUAUGAGGAGACAGAUGAAUUGGGUAAUGAUGCAGUUAAAUGUUCAGUUUCCGUGUUCACCCUCCUAAGAAGAUCGUGGAGGAGCCUUGAUUAUAAUGCUCCGUUGCGUAUGUACUCUCGUUCAUGUAAUGUGGGCGGCUUUGUGUAUCGAUUAACAACGGUGAUAGGGGACAACCGGUUGGAGAUUGUGUCCUUUGAUUUGAGUACUGAGGUGUUUACGGAGAUGGCAUGUCCUGAUGAAGUUAGAUUUGUGGCCCGGUGUACACCAGAGUUAACAAUUUAUUGUGACUCUCUUGCUCUACUCCAUGAGUGGGAUUACAAGCGAUAUCACAUAUGGGUUAUGAAAGAGGAUGAUGGGGCUAAGUCGUGGAUGAAGCUAUUCUCAGUAGACCUUGAUGGAGGUGUAUCAGGGCAGCGUAUAGUUGGGUUUAGUAUGAAAGGACUAAUGCUUGUGGUAGGGGAAGGUAACUUGUUAGUUUCGCCCGCUGAGAAGGAUGCUCAAGUUGUAAAGUAUGUGCCUCAUGUCCCUCAAUCUGCAUGGCAUGUGGAGUCGUACCAAGGGAGUUUAGUUCUGCUCAAGGAACCAAAUAGGGAAUAAUAUAAUAGUAAGGAUUUUGAAAGUUCUCCUUGAUGAAGACAUGAGGAAUUAAGUAACUCAACAUACAUGAAUAUGCUGGCCUGCUGGGUAAGAGAGUACAUGGUAUGGUGUUAGUCUAAAGGGCAUCAAUUUUGAAGAGAGAGCUAUCGGCCCUAUGGAAGCAUCUUAAGAGAUUAUAGGAGCCUCAAGGAAGUUCCGUAUAGCCGACAAGUGCUCUCAAUUCAAAUCUGGAGAUAGAGUGACGGGGAUAUUAGUCACAUUACUAUUAGGUCAAAAUGUUAAAUAGACGGGAAUUGUCUAUCAGAUGCUAAUACACCAGCUAUAAGAUUUUGGUUUUGUACUCUAAAGCAGGGUUGUUCUGUUCUGGUAACUGUGAAUCAACAUUUGAUAAACAAAACCCUUACCUAAUAUUUUACUUCGCUUGUUUUUACA